GGCAAGGUGAGAGCACGGAAUUCGUGAUCAGGCUGCCGGCGGUCCGACCGAUGUGAAGGGGCGUGCGCAUGAGCCGUGAUCCACGCUUUGGCGCGUGGCGACACCCAAGGCCUCGGUCCCGCCCGGCGCGGCAGCCUUCGCUGACCAGGAUUGCACAUGAACUCCCUCCACCGCACCCUCCUCUUGUGUAGCCUGCUCCUGCUCCUUCCCGGGAGACUCCUUGCCGAGGACCUUGCACUCGGCAUGUCAGCCGCAUUUACCGGGCCAUCCGGGGGCCUGGGAAUUGAGCUGUACCGGGGUGCCAUGGCCUAUCUGGA
rnacentral:misc_RNA from 1 species